rnacentral:siRNA from 1 species
CACCAACAAGCUCCAACCCCAUA